GCCCUUGGAGACAUCAAUAAUUAGCAUUCAUCAAAUGCUUUUUAACAUACUUUAGAUUUUAGUAUUAGCUUCAAUAUAGAUCAUAGGACUUUUUUGUUAUGUUGGAUGAAAUUUUAUGAUAAUGUUGAUUUGCAAUUAGCGAUUAUGUAGCACAAUGUUUGUUGUCUAAACUGAUUAAAAAAAAUUAACUUACACCCUAGCUAC
rnacentral:lncRNA from 1 species